GGAUGCUGCCCUUUCCAUGUAGAAUCAGGAAAGUGGAUACUGCUUGGCUGGUAUGAUUCUGCAGUUGAGCAUGGAUCUAUGAACCAGAGGAUCAAUUCCAAUUUCUCUAACCCUUCACUCUUUAUCUAUGAAGAAAGAAAAUGAGGAAAAAGGAACACACAGAAAGUGGAAAUGAAAUUUAGAUUGAGAACCUGUAUUUAUAUUUAUCAUGGAGUUAACAAAUGCAUUAAAGUGAUACACAGUUUAAUUUCCUGGUAUUUUA